rnacentral:rRNA from 1 species
AAUCAACGCUGGCGGCGUGCCUCAGACAUGCAAGUCGAACGAUUAAGACUUCCCUUCGGGAAGUGCAUAAAGUGGCGCACGGGUGAGUAACACGUAAGUAAUCUACCCUCGAGUGGGGAAUAACGUUCGGAAACGGACGCUAAUACCGCAUAACGCAGCGGCACCGCAAGGUGACAGUUGUUAAAGGAGCAAUCCGCUUGAGGAGGAGCUUGCGGCAGAUUAGCUAGUUGGUAGGGUAAUGGCUUACCAAGGCUACGAUCUGUAUCCGGUCUAAGAGGACGGUCGGACACACUGACACUGAAUAACGGGUCAGACUCCUACGGGAGGCAGCAGUCGGGAAUUUUGGGCAAUGGGCGAAAGCCUGACCCAGCAACGCCGCGUGAAGGAUGAAGUAUUUCGGUAUGUAAACUUCGAAAGAAUAGGAAGAAUAAAUGACGGUACUAUUUAUAAGCUCCGGCUAACUACGUGCCAGCAGCCGCGGUAAU